AUGGUGAAAUUCAUUUCAAACUUGUCUCUAUUUUUUGUUAUUCUAUUAUUAAUUGUACCUGUUUGGAGCAUGGGAUUACAACAAAGUGGUUGGGAUAAGAUAUGUGUAAAACCUAUGGGAGCAUGUGGUGCAGCUGGAGAAUGUGCUGGAAGGUGCAAAUAUUAUAACGGGGAAGGGUCCUGCAAUUUGGGCCUAUGUACCUGUUAUUAUUGGUGCAUUCAAGGGCAUGAUGGCGAGAAGAUUUAG